UACGGAGGGUGCAAGCAUUAAUCGGAUUUAUUGGGCGUAAAGGGCGCGUAGGCGGGAAGAUAAGUCAGAUGUGAAAGCCCAGGGCUCAACCUUGGAAUUGCAUUUGAAACUGUUUUUCUAGAGGGUAGGCGGAGAAAACAGAAUUCCACAUGUAGCGGUGAAAUGCGUAGAUAUGUGGAGGAAUACCGGUGGCGAAGGCGGUUUUCUAGCUUAUUCCUGACGCUAAUGCGCGAAAGCAAGGGGAGCAAACAGG
rnacentral:rRNA from 1 species